GACGAACGCUGGCGGCGUGCUUAACACAUGCAAGUCGAACGGAAAGGCCCCUUUGGGGGUACUCGAGUGGCGAACGGGUGAGUAACACGUGAGUAACCUGCCCUUGACUUCGGGAUAACUUCAGGAAACUGGGGCUAAUACCGGAUAGGAAUCCUUGCUGCAUGGUGGGGGUUGGAAAGCUUCGGCGGUUUUGGAUGGACUCGCGGCUUAUCAGCUUGUUGGUGGGGUAGUGGCUUACCAAGGCUUUGACGGGUAGCCGGCCUGAGAGGGCGACCGGCCACAGUGGGACUGAGAUACGGCCCAGACUCCGACGGGAGGCAGCAGGGGGGAAUAUUGCACAAUGGGCGGAAGCCUGAUGCAGCAACGCCGCGUGCGGGAUGACGGCCUUCGGGUUGUAAACCGCUUUCAGCAGGGGCGAAGCUUGUGGUGACGGUACCUGCAGAAGAAGCGCCGGCUAACUACGUG
rnacentral:rRNA from 1 species